UCGUUUCUAAGACCAUCAUUAUCGGGACUUCUUAACAAAGUCCUUAGUAAUAAUGGGCCCAAAAAUAAAUCAAAAAUGUGCAAUUAACUGAAGGACGUCCUUAGCUUAGAAGUUUUCUUAGACGUCCUUAAGGACACGUGUUGCCCAUUCACGUCUCUUUCUCUCUCUCCAGAAAUCAACUCUGCCUCUCUCCUUCGACGAUCUCUCCUUGGCUCUGCUCAUCCUCUCCAUGAAUUCCUCCAAAGCUUGCUUCUUCCACUCUCUUCUUCGACCCAUCUAGCUUCCCCAGUCCUCCUAUGGCGUCUUCUCAAAACACUUAAUUUUGUCCCACUGAUGAGGUUCCUUUUCGAUAACAUCAACAUCGAGCCUUUGAUGACUUAAACAAAGUUUUUGCAGGUGAAGCUUGUGACAAGAAGGACCUGUUGAUUGAGGCUACUACUCAGAUCAGAACGUUGCUUUGUAGUGGUAGUCAUCCUGUUUAAUUUAGUUUUGCUAGACUGCACUGUAAUGUGAUCCCUUUGUGUAUUGUGUGUAUACAUGUUCAUCUUGUCGUAUUGUGUAUUGUGUAUUGUGUGUAUUUUGUGUGUAUUGUGUGUGUUCUGUAUCCAAUCAUUCAACUUCUAAAAAAAUAAUCUAAGGACUCAAAACAAGUCCUACCAAUAAUCUACACUAAUUUAUAAGUC